AUGGUCAAGUUGAGCCAAUUUAGAUGCCAGGUUCUAAACACAGCUGGCCUCCAGCCAGAGAAGGCUCAGGCCCAAACCACAGCCCAGCACCAGGCAGGUCUGACCCGAAGCACCUGUGCCUGCAAAGCUCGGAGCAGACGCUGUGCAAAAGCACACUCAGAUCCAAGCCCAGGGUCCAGAGACACGGGGCUCCCAGGAUCCAGAGACACGGGGCUCCCAGAGACACGGGGCUCCCAGGAUCCAGAGACAGAGACACGGGGCUCCCAAGGUCCAGAGACGGGGCUCCCAGAGACACAGGGCUCCCAGGGUCCAGAGACACAGGGCUUCCAGGAUCCAGAGACACGGAGCUCCCAGAGACACGGGGCUCCCAGGGUCCAGAGACACGGGGCUCCCAGGAUCCAGAGACAGAGACACGGGGCUCCCAAGGUCCAGAGACGGGGCUCCCAGAGACACAGGGCUCCCAGGAUCCAGAGACAUGGGGCUCCCAGAGACAUGGGGCUCCCAGGGUCCAGAGAUAUGGGGCUCCCAGAGACAUGGGGCUUCCAGGGUCCAGAGACACAGGGCUCCCAGGAUCCAGAGACAUGGGGCUCCCAGGAUCCAGAGACAUGGGGCUCCCAGGGUCCAGAGACACGGGGCUCCCAGGAUCCAGAGACAUGGGGCUCCCAGGAUCCAGAGACAGAGACACGGGGCUCCCAGGGUCCAGAGACACGGAGCUCCCAGAGACACGGGGCUCCCAGGGUCCAGAGACACGGGGCUCCCAGGAUCCAGAGACAGAGACACGGGGCUCCCAAGGUCCAGAGACGGGGCUCCCAAAGACACAGGGCUUCCAGGGUCCAGAGACACAGGGCUCCCAGGAUCCAGAGACACAGGGCUCCCAGGAUCCAGAGACAUGGGGCUCCCAGGAUCCAGAGACAUGGGGCUCCCAGGGUCCAGAGACACGGGGCUCCCAGGAUCCAGAGACAGAGACACGGGGCUUCCAGGGUCCAGAGACAGAGACACGGGGCUUCCAGGGUCCAGAGAUAUGGGGCUCCCAGAGACACGGGGCUCCCAGGGUCCAGAGACACAGGGCUCCCAAGGAGUCUGAGUACGUUCUCCCCCUCAGCUCUCCCCCUGCAGAACUACACAGCCAGGCACCUGCCCUCAGCUCAAGCCCAGCAUGCUCCAAGGUGGGACAAGGGACUUGGGUGCCUGCCUGGACCUGAUCACGUUCAUGCUUCUGCCUGUUUCCUUCCUCUUAGUUUCCCAGUAAAGAUUUCUUGGAGAAACUCCCAUCUUUGCACAAGAUAA
rnacentral:lncRNA from 1 species